GUGUAGAUAUAGAAAGGGGUGUGUGUGUGUGUGUGUGGAUAUAUAUAUGCACGCAUACAGUAUAUAUAAUCUGUGAGGAAGAAGAAACCUUGGUUUAUCAGUUGUGGUUCCGAAAUCCAAAGAGCCGCAACGGCUGCAAUACAGCGCAUACUUUCCUGCCACUGGGCCUUGUGAAACCCUGUCAACAUGCAUGAGCCUGGACUGCAAUUCAUGUCAAGAGUGUGUAUAUAGUAUAGUAUCUACGCCUUUUUUUAUUGUACUCGUGUCUGCUGCUGAUCCCAUGGCUCCUAGCAUCCCCAGUCUUGAACCAUGGCACAAGGAUCCACACAUUUCUUCUGUCUGAAAGAUGUCUUCCCAGCCUGAAAUGAUAUUAAAAUGUCAACUAACAGCAACUCUAAUUAGCUGCAUUUCCUUCUUGAGUACCGUGUGUAAAAGAGACAUACAUGCUUUGUUUGACAGCUAGCUGCAGUUUCCAAAAGGGGAAUAAUAGAAACUUCAAAAUCACUUCCCUGCUCUGUUUGCUUGCUUUGGAAGUACAGUAUACAUGAAGCAUUAAAAGACAAGUCACAGAAGGUAAAAGCAUCUUAAAGCUAUGAGACAUCAACAGGCCUAGGAGAAUAAAAAAGGGCAUCACUCUGGAGCCAGCAUUCCACAGCUGGGUAGCCACACUGAAAAUGCCCUUCUACCUACCAUUACCUGGCAGGGCCAUUUGAUAUGAGCUUUGAAGGAGAUCCCAACAAUUAGACAGGUACAUGCGGAGAGAGGUACUCCAUGAAGCACCCUGGUCACAACUGCAAAGGGCCUUUUCCAGGUCCAAUUGAAGGUGUUUGAUUUUCCCUCUUUUUUGCUGUGAGCCAGGGGAGCUGCUUGAUCACCAGAGUGGUGUGAUUCAUACAAUCCAGUCUCAGCAGUCUGUUAGCUACUUUCUGAACCAACACAAAUUUCCAGAACAUUUUAAAAAGCAACAGUGCACAUAAUACUUUGCAGUAGUCCACAGA